rfam:Auxenochlorella protothecoides strain 0710 contig1039, whole genome shotgun sequence.
GCGGAUAUAGCUCAGUGGUAGAGUGGCACCUUGCCAAGGUGCUUGUCGCGCGUUCGAAUCGCGUUAUCCGCU